rnacentral:rRNA from 1 species
AGAGUUUGAUCCUGGCUCAGGAUGAACGCUAGCGACAGGCCUAACACAUGCAAGUCGAGGGGCAGCGAAGAGGUAGCAAUACCUUUGUCGGCGACCGGCGCACGGGUGAGUAACACGUAUGCAAUCCACCUGUAACAGGGGGAUAACCCGGAGAAAUCCGGACUAAUACCCCAUAAUAUGGGCGCUCCGCAUGGAGAGCCCAUUAAAGAGAGCAAUUUUGGUUACAGACGAGCAUGCGCUCCAUUAGCCAGUUGGCGGGGUAACGGCCCACCAAAGCGACGAUGGAUAGGGGUUCUGAGAGGAAGGUCCCCCACAUUGGAACUGAGACACGGUCCAAACUCCUACGGGAGGCAGCAGUGAGGAAUAUUGGUCAAUGGUCGGCAGACUGAACCAGCCAAGUCGCGUGAGGGAAGACGGCCCUACGGGUUGUAAACCUCUUUUGUCGGAGAGUAAAGUACGCUACGUGUAGUGUAUUGCAAGUAUCCGAAGAAAAAGCAUCGGCUAACUCCGUGCCAGCAGCCGCGGUAAUACGGAGGAUGCAAGCGUUAUCCGGAUUUAUUGGGUUUAAAGGGUGCGUAGGCGGCACGCCAAGUCAGCGGUGAAAUUUCCGGGCUCAACCCGGAGUGUGCCGUUGAAACUGGCGAGCUAGAGUACACAAGAGGCAGGCGGAAUGCGUGGUGUAGCGGUGAAAUGCAUAGAUAUCACGCAGAACCCCGAUUGCGAAGGCAGCCUGCUAGGGUGAAACAGACGCUGAGGCACGAAAGCGUGGGUAUCGAACAGGAUUAGAUACCCUGGUAGUCCACGCAGUAAACGAUGAAUACUAACUGUUUGCGAUACAAUGUAAGCGGUACAGCGAAAGCGUUAAGUAUUCCACCUGGGGAGUACGCCGGCAACGGUGAAACUCAAAGGAAUUGACGGGGGCCCGCACAAGCGGAGGAACAUGUGGUUUAAUUCGAUGAUACGCGAGGAACCUUACCCGGGCUCAAACGCAGGGGGAAUAUAUAUGAAAGUAUAUAGCUAGCAAUAGUCACCUGCGAGGUGCUGCAUGGUUGUCGUCAGCUCGUGCCGUGAGGUGUCGGCUUAAGUGCCAU